UACGAAGGGUGCAAGCGUUACUCGGAAUUAUUGGGCGUAAAGGGCUCGUAGGCGGUUUGUCGCGUCGGGAGUGAAAACUCAGGGCUUAACCCUGAGCCUGCUUCCGAUACGGGCAGACUAGAGGUAUGCAGGGGAGAACGGAAUUCCUGGUGUAGCGGUGAAAUGCGCAGAUAUCAGGAGGAACACCGGUGGCGAAGGCGGUUCUCUGGGACGGUACUGACGCUGAGACGCGAAAGCGUGGGGAGCGAACAGG
rnacentral:rRNA from 1 species